rfam:Gasterosteus aculeatus cont1.006020, whole genome shotgun sequence.
CAAACGGCUCUCUUAAGAGCCACACGCCUAAAUAUUAAGAAAUGUU